GAUGAAGAACGUAGCGAAAUGCGAUACGUAGUGUGAAUUGCAGAAUUCAGUGAAUCAUCGAAUCUUUGAACGCACAUUGCGCCCUUUGGUAUUCCAAAGGGCAUGCCUGUUCGAGCGUCAUUUGUACCCUCAAGCUUUGCUUGGUGUUGGGCGUCUUGUCUCCAGUCCGCUGGAGACUCGCCUUAAAGUCAUUGGCAGCCGGCCUACUGGUUUCGGAGCGCAGCACAAGUCGCACUCUUUUCCAGCCAAGGUCAGUGUCCAACAAGCCUUUUUUCAACUUUUGACCUCGGAUCAGGUAGGGAUACCCGCUGAACUUAAGCAUAUCAUAAGCGGAGGA
rnacentral:misc_RNA from 1 species